AUUGAACGCUGGCGGCAGGCCUAACACAUGCAAGUCGAGCGGAUGAAGGGAGCUUGCUCCUGGAUUCAGCGGCGGACGGGUGAGUAAUGCCUAGGAAUCUGCCUGGUAGUGGGGGAUAACGUCCGGAAACGGGCGCUAAUACCGCAUACGUCCUGAGGGAGAAAGUGGGGGAUCUUCGGACCUCACGCUAUCAGAUGAGCCUAGGUCGGAUUAGCUAGUUGGUGGGGUAAAGGCCUACCAAGGCGACGAUCCGUAACUGGUCUGAGAGGAUGAUCAGUAACACUGGAACUGAGACACGGUCCAGACUCCUACGGGAGGCAGCAGUGGGGAAUAUUGGACAAUGGGCGAAAGCCUGAUCCAGCCAUGCCGCGUGUGUGAAGAAGGUCUUCGGAUUGUAAAGAACUUUAAGUUGGGAGGAAGGGCAGUAAGUUAAUACCUUGCUGUUUUGACGUUACCAACAGAAUAAGCACCGGCUAACUUCGUG
rnacentral:rRNA from 1 species